rnacentral:rRNA from 1 species
AGGGAUUAGAUACCCCACUAUAGGAGCUAUAAAACACCUUUACACCCGAGAACUACGAGCGAAAGCUUAAAACUCAAAGGACUUGGCGGUUUUCUAAUUCUUCCUGGAGGAGCUUGCUAUCUAACCGAUAAUCCACGUAAUACCUUACCAACUUUUGAAUAUAACAGCCUGUAUACCAUCGUCGUCAGUUUACUUCACGAGAAAUGUAAACACAAAGAAUUAACUAAACCCUUGACGUCAGAUCGAGGUGCAGCUAAUAAGUUGGGGAUAAGUGAGCCACAAUAAUAGAAAAUAAAGUUAAAAAAUAUAUAUGAAUAACGUAUUGAAAAUUAACGUUUGAAACAGGAUUCAGCAGUAAUGGGUAAAAGAAAAUACUCAUGAAUGACCCCCUAAAGCUCUAGAAUGCGCACACACCGCCCGUCAC